UCCUCCUCAUGCAUGUCAGAGAUUGUUUCAUCAUGGUACAAUUAUGUGUACUGUCUUCAGUUAUGUGAAAACUAGAAGUAUGUCGUCGUGGUUCAUGGUACGCAGUAGGCACAGCCACACACUGAACCUGCUCAAUUCCUUUGUUUUCGGUUAGAUGGCCAUCAGUAUCCCCAAUAGUUGAUAGCCUGCCAAGAAUGAAUUUCCGUUGAAUUGUCAGAAAAAAUAUAUUUUUUCCUAUAGGAGACAAUGUAAGUACGCUAUUUAGUUUUUCUUGUCACUAAAGCUGAGCAAGAACACUAUUUAAUCAGGCAUGGAAGCACCACGUAGCUGUCCUUAUGCUACCAAAUCAAGGAGGGUGGUUGAACUGUUUAAGCACGUACCCUCUGUAAAGUGCACCAGUUUACUAAUCUCCAGCGCCCUUUUCAUGCUCGUCACUAGAUAUCACCCAGAAGAAGCUGAAGUAACAAGUCAAAGCAACAAGGUUAGCCUUUAAAAUACCAGAUAACUAGCUCUGCAUUAUUCAGAGCUACUCUGAUUAUUCUAAUCAUAUAUCUGUAACCGGGAUUCUACGUGCUCUACCUUCUCCUUUGGCUUGUAUUGCAUUUUCACUAGCAGGAGCCCAGCACAUUCCCUGACUGUGAUACACAGAGCAGGUAGGCGUUUGACAACUCCUCCUUUUUCCCCCUUUUUGCAGCUUGGGCUCCUACCACACCACAGCAAUGGGGGUUUAUACACAUCUUCCCAACUCCAGGGUAGCAGCUAUCCUGUGGUGCUGAUGAUCCACCAGAUGGUUUGGAAGGUCUCAUUAUCAGGUUGCAGUACUUCCGAAGGUUUGUAGUACUGGAGGGUAUGCUUGAGUAUGUAGAUGGUUUGGUAGAGUUUCGUGUUGAGAAAGCCAAAAUGGAUUAUGAAGCAAUUUUGUCAUAUGCACAAGAUACGUAUCAUGUGGAAAGAGAGCAUUGCAGAGGGGAUUGUAGCUACAAACUACAUUGGCUAGUUCCUAUCAAAUCGUUGGAAGAUGGGCCGCUUUGUUUGUGUGAUGAUUCAGCAGUGCGGAAGAUGGAGAGUGGCACAGCUAAUGGUGAUUGUGAUGUCAUUUAUGUGGAGGGAAGUGAUCGGACUUUUCAUGGAACAUUCUUUUUUUUUUGAAAUGUUGUGCUUUAUCUUUGGCAUUGUACUAAAGUGCAUUGUUUCCAUAUGUAGCAAACGAGAAAUAGCACAUGGGAAUAUCAUAUUGCAGCAUUACUGA